AGUCGGAGCCGAGGCGUUACGUGAGGAGGCCGGGCACCCCGUGUCAGGGGUGCCCGGCCUCCGUACGUACGUUUCCGCUCCCGGU
rnacentral:pre_miRNA from 2 species